AGCUCAUCAAGAGGGACUGAGGGAACGGCCCGUCGACGUCCCGGCAACCGCCACGAUCCUCCGCCCACCGGGCGGUCCGCACCUGCGGCCCGCCUGCGACAGCGGUUCGUGGAAACGGUGCUACAUCCGGCCCGGUGCGAAGGACGCCCGGGGAAGAUGAGGA
rnacentral:ncRNA from 2 species